AAUGAACGCUGGCGGCGUGCUUAACACAUGCAAGUCGUACGAGAACGCUUCAGCUUGCUGAAGCUAGUAAAGUGGCGUACGGGUGAGUAACGCGUGGGUAAUCUACCUUCGAAUUGGGGAUAACGUUACGAAAGUGACGCUAAUACCGGAUAAUAUCAUAGGGACUUCGGUUCUUAUGAUCAAAGAUGGCCUCUCCUUGGAAGCUAUUGUUUGGAGAUGAGCCCGCGUCCCAUUAGCUUGUUGGUAGGGUAAUGGCCUACCAAGGCGACGAUGGGUAGCUGGUCUGAGAGGAUGAUCAGCCACACUGGAACUGACACACGGUCCAGACUCCUACGGGAGGCAGCAGUGAGGAAUUUUGCGCAAUGGGGGAAACCCUGACGCAGCAACGCCGCGUGAGUGAUGAAGGCUUUCGGGUCGUAAAGCUCUGUCAAGUGGGAAGAACUCCCAUGAGGUUAAUACCCUCAUGGUUUGACGGUACCACUGAAGGAAGCACCGGCUAACUCCGUG
rnacentral:rRNA from 1 species